AUACUUACCUGACGCGAGAGGCACCUUGAUCAACUAGGAGGUCCUCUCAGGAUGAGGCCCUUUCAUUGCACUUCGACUGGGUUGACUCCUGCGAUUACCCCUAAUGUGGGUAACUCGAGCGUAUAAUUUCGGGUAGUGGGGACCUGCGUUCGCGCUCGUCCCCU
rnacentral:snRNA from 1 species